rnacentral:lncRNA from 10 species
AAACCAUAGACUGGUAUGUAUGGGCCACCACUUGACCUUCACCCACACAGCUCCUGAAAGUCAGAAGAACUGCCCUGUGGAAAGAUUCUAACAGUUCACUUCCCUGUCACUGGAUAAGCAAGCCCUUUUGCACAUACCCAUGACCAUGCACUUUGGAUAAGUGGAAUGCAGCUGCACAAAAGCAAGAUAAAGCUGGACCAUCAAGAUGAUGAACAAUCUGGAUGAAGAGCCUUCGAGACGCACACAAAAGCUGGAGAAGUGCAGUUGAUGUAGGCCUGGACAGCUGAAGAAUGCUGCGGUCUAACGAUGAAUAGCCCUCAUUUGUGAAUAUACAGAUUUUCCACGAUGAAUAAAAACUGAGUGGAGGUCACAAUAAAUAAACUUUUUCCCCCCUUCUUCUUAAAUAAUAAUUCAGGUUCCCGGCACCAAACAGCUGUAAAUUGAAGGUUGUGCUUAGUUUUCUCAACUCUCAAAGGGGAUAAUUAAGCUAAGAUCACAUUGUUUGAUAUAUUAGUGUAAUGAUGAGCUCCUAUAUUCUGCUUGUUUCGAGUUAUUUUAGUUUUUCUUUCCCAUUAUCUGUUUUUUUAAUUACAUUUCAAAUACAUUUUAAAUGUAGGAACAGCAGUUCUGAAACAGAGUUUGCCCUAUGUUUGGAUCUAUUUGAAAUGUAUUCAUAUAACAUUUAAUUAAAGCAGCAACAUUCCCCUUUAGAAAAUGUGUGGAGGUAGAAAUAUCUAUAUUAUCUGACUAGUUCUGACAUAAUCUUGCCAAAAGGCUGACUCUUUUUCCUUAUUGGUGCAAGAUAAUUA